UACAGAGGUCUCAAGCGUUGUUCGGAUUCAUUGGGCGUAAAGGGUGCGUAGGUGGCGCCGUAAGUCGGGUGUGAAAUUUCGGAGCUUAAUUCCGAAACUGCAUUCGAUACUGCGGUGCUUGAGGACUGGAGAGGAGACUGGAAUUUACGGUGUAGCGGUGAAAUGCGUAGAUAUCGUAAGGAAGACCAGUGGCGAAGGCGGGUCUCUGGACAGUUCCUGACGCUGAGGCACGAAGGUCAGGGGAGCAAACGGG
rnacentral:rRNA from 1 species